rnacentral:rRNA from 1 species
AACAGGAUUAGAUACCCUGGUAGUCCACCCCGUAAACGUUGGGAACUAGUUGUGGGGACCAUUCCACGGUUUCCGUGACGCAGCUAACGCAUUAAGUUCCCCGCCUGGGGAGUACGGCCGCAAGGCUAAAACUCAAAGGAAUUGACGGGGACCCGCACAAGCGGCGGAGCAUGCGGAUUAAUUCGAUGCAACGCGAAGAACCUUACCAAGGCUUGACAUACACCAGAACGGGCCAGAAAUGGUCAACUCUUUGGACACUGGUGAACAGGUGGUGCAUGGUUGUCGUCAGCUCGUGUCGUGAGAUGUUGGGUUAAGUCCCGCAACGAGCGCAACCCUCGUUCUAUGUUGCCAGCACGUAAUGGUGGGAACUCAUGGGAUACUGCCGGGGUCAACUCGGAGGAAGGUGGGGAUGACGUCAAAUCAUCAUGCCCCUUAUGUCUUGGGCUUCACGCAUGCUACAAUGGCCGGUACAAAGGGCUGCAAUACCGUGAGGUGGAGCGAAUCCCAAAAAGCCGGUCCCAGUUCGGAUUGAGGUCUGCAACUCGACCUCAUGAAGUCGGAGUCGCUAGUAAUCGCAGAUCAGCAACGCUGCGGUGAAUACGUUCCCGGGUCUUGUACACACCGCCCGUCAAGUCAUGAAAGUCGGUAACACCUGAAGCCGGUGGCCCAACCCUUGUGGAGGGAGCCGUCGAAGGUGGGAUCGGUAAUUAGGACUAAGUCGUAACAAGGUA